rnacentral:rRNA from 1 species
UACGGGGGGUGCAAGCGUUACUCGGAAUCACUGGGCGUAAAGGGAGCGUAGGCGUUCUAUUAAGUCUCGAGUGAAAGCCCGCAGCUCAACUACGGAACUGCUCGUGAAACUGAUAGAAUUGAGUAUGGAAGAGGUAGGUGGAAUUUCCAGUGUAGGGGUAAAAUCCGUAGAUAUUGGAAGGAAUACCAGAAGCGAAGGCGACCUACUGGGACAUUACUGACGCUGAGGCUCGAAAGCGUGGGGAGCAAACAGG